AUUGAACGCUGGCGGCAGGCUUAACACAUGCAAGUCGAGCGGGGGAAGGUAGCUUGCUACCGGACCUAGCGGCGGACGGGUGAGUAAUGCUUAGGAAUCUGCCUAUUAGUGGGGGACAACACCUCGAGAGGGAUGCUAAUACCGCAUACGUCCUGCGAGAGAAAGCAGGGGAUCUUCGAACCUUGCGCUAAUAGAUGAGCCUAAGUCGGAUUAGCUAGUUGGUGGGGGAAAGGCCUACCAAGGCGACGAUCUGUAGCGGGUCUGAGAGGAUGAUCCGCCACACUGGGACUGAGACACGGCCCAGACUCCUACGGGAGGCAGCAGUGGGGAAUAUUGGACAAUGGGGGGAACCCUGAUCCAGCCAUGCCGCGUGUGUGAAGAAGGCCUUAUGGUUGUAAAGCACUUUAAGCGAGGAGGAGGCUACUCUAGUUAAUACCUAGGGAUAGUGGACGUUACUCGCAGAAUAAGCACCGGCUAACUCUGUGCCAGCAGCCGCGGUAA
rnacentral:rRNA from 1 species